AUGCUUAUGUGACGUGCACUCUACCAUUAUCAGAUAUUAUAGCUGAUACUAUGAUCCUAGCAGUCAAUCAACAAACAUUACUAAACUAUAGUUUGUAAACUGAUGAAUGUCCAUGUUCAGACUUAAACGUCUAGUACAAAAACAGUUUUAAUUUAUUUCUGGAUCCUGGAUGCAACUUUCACAUUUUACAAACAUACCAUAGUACAUUACUUCAUGUGCAUAUGAUGUGGGAUGCCAAAAUAUAAUGUGCUAUGUAUUUCUGAAUGGUCAAUGGUUAAUUUUAAGAUGCCAUUGCAUUGACAUUACUGUAUAUGAAUUUUUUUGUAGGUUUCUGUGUUGUGCUACUUUGAUGUGCUAACAAGUCUAAACGGUGUGGAAAAUGUUCUCUCAAGUCAAGUAUGAAACACGGGUACAUGCUAUAUCCUUCUCACCAGUAUGUGAUACUGGUGGGGGGCUGGAUUAGACGCCGGCCACUCGUCCAUGAGGGAGGAAUCGCAUCAGAAACACGGUGGUGUAAUGGUAAAGACGGCAUAGACUGGAUGGUAAGGGAUCGAGUUGUGAGGAAUUAAUGUAUCAAAGACGUUUUUUAACUACUUUAAAUUAAUGUUAAAUUGAUUAUUUCUAAUAAUUUAAUUAUCAUUAACUAGUAGUAGCUGGAGACAUGGUAGGAGUAACUGUAGAAGUGACUUUAAAUAAGCUCAAUAAAGUAACUGGAAAUACAAGGUAGGAGUACUUCCUCUGGUUUCAAGUUACUGCACGUGGUACAAAUUAGGUUUUGAAGCUUGUUUACAUUUUUUUAUAAGCUUGCUUCCAUAGUGCAUGUACAUAUUAAAUCUUUGGAUCAUAAUCUAAGUAAGUAUAAUUAUAAUAUGUAAAAGGACUCAAUGCUGUCGAACAUAGAAAUUGGAUGAGGAAAAUUCUGAGGAUCAAAAGUUAAUUGGGCUGUGUAUAGAGUUCUAUUACCUGCAUGUAAAUUAAU